rnacentral:rRNA from 1 species
AACGCGAAGAACCUUACCUGGGCUCGAAAUGUAGAGGACUAUACAAGAGAUUGUAUAUCCCGAAAGGGUCUCUAUAUAGGUGCUGCAUGGCUGUCGUCAGCUCGUGUCGUGAGAUGUUGGGUUAAGUCCCGCAACGAGCGCAACCCUUACCUCUAGUUGCUACCAUUUAGUUGAGCACUCUAGCGGAACCGCCUCGGAUAACGGGGAGGAAGGCGGGGAUGACGUCAAGUCCUCAUGGCCUUUAUGUCCAGGGCUACACACGUGCUACAAUGGCCGGUACAAACCGCUGCAAACCCGUGAGGGGGAGCUAAUCGGAAAAAGCCGGCCUCAGUUCGGAUUGGAGUCUGCAACUCGACUCCAUGAAGCUGGAAUCGCUAGUAAUCGUGGAUCAGCAUGCCACGGUGAAUACGUUCCCGGGCCUUGUACACACCGCGCAUA